CAAUAGCGUAUAUUAAAGUUGUUGCAGUUAAAAAGCUCGUAGUUGGGUUUCUGUGAGAGUGCCGGUGUCGGCUGAUGCUUGUACGCAGGCGCUCUUACAUCCUUCUGUUAACUGAUCUUGGCAUUUUAUUGCUGGUUCAGGGCUCAGAUAUUUUACCUUGAGAAAAUUAGAGUGUUUCAGGCAGGCUUAUGCCGGAAUACAUUAGCAUGGAAUAAUGGAACAGGACCUGUGCGUCUUUCGGGGCGCCGGUCUCCGUUAUUGGUUUCGGGGACUAAAGUAAUGAUUAAUAGGGAUAGUUGGGGGCAUUAGUAUUUAAUAGUCAGAGGUGAAAUUCUCGGAUUUGUUAAAGACUAACUUAUGCGAAAGCAUUUGCCAAGGAUGUUUUCAUUAA
rnacentral:rRNA from 1 species